rnacentral:rRNA from 1 species
GACAGAGGGUGCAAACGUUGUUCGGAAUUACUGGGCGUAAAGAGUGUGUAGGCGGUGCUCUAAGUUCGGUGUGAAAUCUCCUGGCUCAACUGGGAGGGUGCGCCGGAAACUGGAGUGCUUGAGCGUGGGAGAGGAAAGCGGAAUUCCUGGUGUAGCGGUGAAAUUCGUAGAUAUCGGGAGGAACACCGGUGGCGAAGGCGGCGAUCUGGGUCGAUACUGACGCUGAGGUGCGAAAGCGUGGGGAGCAAACAGG